rnacentral:tRNA from 1 species
GCGCCCGUAGCUCAGCUGGAUAGAGUACUGCCCUCCGAAGGCAGGGGUCAGACGUUCGAAUCGUCUCGGGCGCGCCA